UGGGGAAUAUUGCACAAUGGGGGAAACCCUGAUGCAGCGACGCCGCGUGAGCGAAGAAGGUUUUCGAAUCGUAAAGCUCUGUCCUAUGAGAAGAUAAUGACGGUAUCAUAGGAGGAAGCCCCGGCUAAAUACGUGCCAGCAGCCGCGGUAAUACGUAUGGGGCGAGCGUUGUCCUGAAUUAUUGGGCGUAAAGGGUACGUAGGCGGUCUAUUAAGUCAGGUGUGAAAGCGUGAGGCUUAACCUCAUUAAGCACUUGAAACUGAUAGACUUGAGUGAAGGAGAGGAAAGUGGAAUUCCUAGUGUAGCGGUGAAAUGCGUAGAUAUUAGGAGGAAUACCGGUGGCGAAGGCGACUUUCUGGACUUUUACUGACGCUCAGGUACGAAAGCGUGGGGAGCAAACAGG
rnacentral:rRNA from 1 species